rnacentral:rRNA from 1 species
GACGGAGGGAUGCAAGCGUUAUCCGGAAUGAUUGGGCGUAAAGCGUCCGCAGGUGGCAGUUCAAGUCUGCUGUCAAAGACCGGGGCUUAACUUCGGAAAGGCAGUGGAAACUGAACAGCUAGAGUAUGGUAGGGGCAGAGGGAAUUCCUGGUGUAGCGGUGAAAUGCGUAGAUAUCUGGAGGAAUACCAGUGGCGAAGGCGGCUUUCUGGACCUUACCU